AUUGAACGCUGGCGGCAUGCCUUACACAUGCAAGUCGAACGGUAACAGGUUAAGCUGACGAGUGGCGAACGGGUGAGUAAUGUAUCGGAACGUGCCCCGUCGGGGGGGAUAACUACUCGAAAGAGUGGCUAAUACCGCAUACGACCUGAGGGUGAAAGCGGGGGACCGUAAGGCCUCGCGCGAUUGGAGCGGCCGAUAUCAGAUUAGCUAGUUGGUGGGGUAAAAGCCCACCAAGGCGACGAUCUGUAGCUGGUCUGAGAGGACGACCAGCCACACUGGGACUGAGACACGGCCCAGACUCCUACGGGAGGCAGCAGUGGGGAAUUUUGGACAAUGGACGCAAGUCUGAUCCAGCCAUGCCGCGUGCGGGAAGAAGGCCUUCGGGUUGUAAACCGCUUUUGUCAGGGAAGAAACGAGUUUCUCUAAUACAGAGACUUAAUGACGGUACCUGAAGAAUAAGCACCGGCUAACUACGUGCCAGCAGCCGCCGUAAGAC
rnacentral:rRNA from 1 species